AGACGGCGCGUGAGGUGACGGCGUGCAGAGAGGGGUGGGCGACAGCGCGCGAGGCGACGGCGCAGCGGCACAGCGUCGUAGUGGCGGCGAGCUUCUCACCAGUACAAUAGUAUCACUUGGACAAUAUGAGGAGGAGAGUAACAACAUUUAUCACAGGCCAGUAGGUGUAGAAGGCGUGGAAAGGGACAGUUUGACACACUUUGCCAUAAUUUAUCGCACAACAUGUCCAACAGUUACGGAAUGCAAUAGAUGUUCUGUGCUAGAGCGUUCUGUGCUAGAGUUAGUACUGCACUCGAGAGAAUUAUUCCAGCGGCUAAUGAAUAAUUACAUUUUCUAGUACUACAUGUGUGCUGCAAUUGUGUGAUGUAAAAAUGGCCUGUUUUGAUUCCUGUGUAA